rnacentral:rRNA from 1 species
AACGAACGCUGGCGGCAGGCCUAACACAUGCAAGUCGAACGAAGUCUUCGGACUUAGUGGCGGACGGGUUAGUAACGCGUGGGAAUAUGCCCAAAGGUACGGAAUAGCCUCUGGAAACGGAGAGUAAUACCGUAUGUGCCCUUCGGGGGAAAGAUUUAUCGACCUUUGGAUUAGCCCGCGUUAGAUUAGGUAGUUGGUGGGUAAUGGCCUACCAAGCCUACGAUCUAUAG